rnacentral:lncRNA from 1 species
UGCCAUUUGAUAACCAUUUCAUUUUCAUCAAGGUAUUGAAGAGAUUUCAUGUGACAAAUGCUGCUUGGAAGACUCUCAAGUUCUCUGCAAUCAUUCAGCCUCAGAGUAACAAGAUUGGUGAGAUUUAAAACUGACGCAGGCAGCUCCUCAAUUGCAGUGCCACCCAAAUAAAGCUCAGACAACAUAUUCAUAACCUCUGAAAUUUCUGGAAAUUUCUCAAAGUUUUGAGGACCCAGAAACACAAGGUAUUGAAGAGAUUUCAUGUGACAAAUGCUGCUUAGAAGACUCUCAAGUUCUCUGCAAUCAUUCAGCCACAAGUGUAACAAGAUUGGUGAGAUUUAAAACUGACGCAGGUAGUUCCUUAAUUGCAGUGCCACCCAAAUAAAGCUCAAACAACAUAUUCAUAACCUCUGAAAUUUUUGGAAAUUUCUCAAGUUUUGAGGACCCAGAAACACAAGGUAUUGAAGAGAUUUCAUGUGACAAAUGCUGCUUGGAAGACUCUCAAGUUCUCUGCAAUCAUUCAGCCUCAGAGUAACAAGAUUGGUGAGAUUUAUAACUGACGCAGGCAGUUCCUUAAUUGCAGUGCCACCCAAAUCAAGCUCAGAUAGCAUAUUCAUAACCUCUGAAAUUUCUGGAAAUUUCUCAAGGUUUGAGGACCCAGAAACAUCAAGGUAUUGAAGAGAUUUCAUUUGACAAAUGCUGCUUGGAAGACUCUCAAGUUCUCUGCAAUCAUUCAGCCUCAGAGUAACAAGAUUGGUGAGAUUUAAAAUUGAUGCAGGCAGUUCCUUAAUUGCAGUGCCACCCAUAUAAAGCUCAGAUAGCAUAUUCAUAACCUCUGAUAUUUCUGGAAACUUUUUAAGGUUUGAGCACCCAGAAACAUCAAGGUAUUGAAGAGAUUUCAUUUGACAAAUGCUGCUUGGAAGACUCUCAAGUUCUCUGCAAUCAUUCAGCCUCAGAGUAACAAGAUUGGUGAGAUUUAAAAUUGACGCAGGCAGUUCCUUAAUUGCAGUGCCACCCAAAUAGAGCUUAGAUAGCAUAUUCAUAACCUCUGAAAUUUCUGGGAACUUCUUAAGGUUUGAGCACCCAAAAACAUCAAGGUAUUGAAGAGAUUUCAUGUGACAAAUGCUGCUUGGAACACUCUCAAGUUCUUUGCAAUCAUUCAGCCUCAGUGUAACAAGAUUGGUGAGAUUUAAAACUGACGCAUGCAGUUCCUUAAUUGCAGUGCCACCCAAAUAAAGCUCAGAUAGCAUAUUCAUAACCUCUGAAAUUUCUGGAAACUUCUUAAGGUUUGAGCACCCAGAAACAUCAAGGUAUUGAAGAGAUUUCAUGUGACAAAUGUUGCUUAGAAGACUCUCAAGUUCUCUGCAAUCAUUCAGCAAUAGCGUAAGAAGAUUGGUGAGAUUUAAAACUGACGCAGGCAAUUCCUUAAUUGCAGUGCCAUCCAAAUAAAGCCAAGACAGCUUAGUCAUAACCUCUGAAAUUUCUGGAAACUUCUCAAGAUUUGAGCAUCCAGAAACAUGAAGGUAUUGAAGAGAUUUCAUUCGACAAAUGCUGCUUGGAAGACUCUCAAGUUCUCUGCAAUCAUCCAGCGUCAAUGUAACAAGAUUGGUGAGAUUUAAAACUGACACAGGUAGUUCCUUAAUUGCAGUGCCACUCAAAUUAAGCUCAGAUAGCAUAUUCAUAACCUCUGAAAUUUCUGGAAACUUCUCAAGGUUUGAGCACCCAGAAACAUCAAGGUAUUGAAGAGAUUUCAUUUGACAAAUGCUGCUUGGAAGACUUUCAAGUUCUCUACAAUCAUUCAGCCUCAGAGUAACAAGAUUGGUGAGAUUUAAAACUAACGCAGGCAAUUCCUUAAUUGCAGUGCCACUCAAAUCAAGCUCAGAUAGAAUAUUCAUAACCUCUGAAAUUUCUGGAAACUUCUCAAGAUUUGAGAACUUAGAAACAUCAAGGUAUUGAAGAGAUUUCAUGUGACAAAUGCUGCUUGGAAGACCCUCAAGAUUUCUGCAACCAUUUAUAUUCAAGACAAGAAGCCCCGUAAGAUUACUAAUUGACGAGGGCAGUUCUUUAAUUCCAGCAGAAUUUAAAUAAAGCACUGAUAGAUCCUGCAUAACAUCUGAAACUUCGGGAAACUUCUCGAGGUUUUCGCACCCUGAAAGUGUAAGGGUUCUAAGAGAUUUCAUACCAAUCCUGCUUGGAAAAAUCUUAAGAUUUCCACAAUUUUCGAAAUCCAAAAGAACCAGGUUUUCGAGAGAUGAAAUGGAUGGGUGAACCUCAAGUAAACUUGUACAACUUCGAAAAACUACUUUCUCCAGAUUUUUCGCCUCCGUGAAGUCUGGAGUUUUCUUCAGGUGAGGAGAACUUGUUAAGUUGAUAAUUUUCAAAUUUUCCAGAGGCUGGUAUAACACAUCCAGGAAAACAAGUUAUAUGGUAAGGCAUCUAAGAAUUAAACCACUUAAAAGAAACAUAAGCAAGUGAAGUUUUUACCUUGGCUCCUUCCCAAAGAUGUUCAAUGAGACUAUUUUGCAUGUCAAGCUCAACAAGAUUCUUCGCAAUAAAAUUGGACGGUAAAGACUUUAGGGGAAAAUGCUUCCAUAUGAGACUUCUUAACUCAUGCGGAAGAAACUUUAAAUUCUCACAUGAAUAUCCACUGUCGCAAUGGAUUUUGAGCAAUCUUAAUUUC